UACGAAGGGGGCUAGCGUUAAUCGGAAUUACUGGGCGUAAAGCGUGCGUAGUCGGUUAUUUAAGUCGGGUGUGAAAGCCCCGGGCUCAACCUGGGAAUUGCAUUCGAUACUGGAUAGCUAGAGUUCGGCAGAGGGAAGCGGAAUUUCCGGUGUAGCGGUGAAAUGCGUAGAUAUCGGAAGGAACAUCAGUGGCGAAAGCGGCUUCCUGGACCAGAACUGACGAUCAGGCACGAAAGCGUGGGGAGCAAACAGG
rnacentral:rRNA from 1 species